AUGGAGGGGAACAAAAUCCCUAGAAUGCCUCUAUUCCCCUGGGGGCCUGUCGCAUCUCUCCAUCUCGUCUCUUCCCCGCCUCCUUCUCCACCUCCGGCCGCCGCCGCGGCCAAGCCGUCAUGGCGGCGCGCCACCCAGCCACCCAGCCAACCUCCUUCCUCAAACACCAACAUCGCCUCCAGCUACCACGCCAUCAGCACCUGCCGCUGCACCAUCAACCGCACCACCGCAUCACCGGUUUACAUGAAGACGGGGAAUGCCGGCAGCUGGAAUUCUGGGCUGGAAAAGGAGCAAAUAUUAGAGACCUAUUUUGCAUAG
rnacentral:rRNA from 1 species